rnacentral:rRNA from 1 species
UACGGAGGGGGCUAGCGUUGUUCGGAAUUACUGGGCGUAAAGCGCGUGUAGGCGGCUGCGCAAGUCGGGCGUGAAAUCCCACGGCUCAACCGUGGAAGUGCACUCGAAACUGCGUAGCUUGAGUCCUGGAGAGGAAGGUGGAAUGCUUGGUGUAGAGGUGAAAUUCGUAGAUAUCAAGCGGAACACCGGUGGCGAAGGCGACCUUCUGGACAGUGACUGACGCUGAGACGCGAAAGCGUGGGGAGCAAACAGG